rnacentral:rRNA from 1 species
UACGGAGGGAGCUAGCGUUGUUCGGAAUUACUGGGCGUAAAGCGCACGUAGGCGGCUUUGUAAGUUAGAGGUGAAAGCCCGGGGCUCAACUCCGGAACUGCCUUUAAGACUGCAUCGCUUGAAUCCAGGAGAGGUGAGUGGAAUUCCGAGUGUAGAGGUGAAAUUCGUAGAUAUCAAGCGGAACACCGGUGGCGAAGGCGGCCUUCUGGACGAUGACUGACGCUGAGACGCGAAAGCGUGGGGAGCAAACAGG